GGAUGUGAGGGCGAUCUGGCUGCGACAUCUGUCACCCCAUUGAUUGCCAGGGUUGAUUCGGCUGAUGAGGCUGGCUAGGCAGGUGUCCCCUUCCUCCCUCACUGCUCCAUGUGCAUCCCUCCCAAAGCUGGGCACUCAGUGGAAUAGGACGACCAUCCCCGGGAGAGGAGGACCAUUCUUUGGUCAAGGAUACAUGACACUACCCUGCUGGAACCUCCCAACAAGCUCUCAAGGUCAAUUUGAUCACCCUGUGAGGGCAAUGAGGUUAUGACAAAUUGGAACUCAGUGUUGUUUCCUCUU
ensembl:misc_RNA 7SK 7SK RNA